rnacentral:tmRNA from 1 species
GGGGAUGACAGGCCUCGACAAGGGAAUGUAAUUUAUAUGUGCAAAACGGAAGUCGGAAUCUUCCUUAAAAUUUCGAAAAGAUACGUGCAAACGUUAUCUCUAAAGUAAAAGGAGCUUUUGCUUCUCUUACUCCAGCUUACGCAAUAGCCUAAGCCGGCAUCUAAUCUGCCCAAGUUUGAUAAGCAGAUUCAGGUGUAAUAAUUUCAAACUAGGAAAAGCGAGCGUCUCGGCGCGUUUCCGAAAUCAAGAGAAUUGGCGUAUGGGCAUUUUGUCUUCUUUUAAGCCCACAUGCUGAAAUUCUAAAGUUGACUAUGUUUUGUAGAAUCAUUUAAAUUCUUUUUUUGCACGCGGAUUCAAUUUCCGCCGUCUCCACAA